rnacentral:lncRNA from 1 species
ACUCGCCACGGUGCUGUGGAAUUCUCUGGUUUUUCACGCAAGCACCAGAUACUGCUACACCAUCUCAUCGGCAUGGACCUAUAUGUGGCAGCAAGUCCAUCUCAUCGCUUUUGGUGAAAGUCAGUCCAGUUUGUAAAGAUUCUCAUUGUCACUGUAGACGAGGAACUGGGACACCAAAAGGAGAAACUCUGGCCACGCUUGCACCCUGUUCCCAAUCCUGGUCCAGUGUCACCCACAGAUGGUAAGGAGCUCUAGAGACCUCACCAGCCCCUGGGAUUGGUCACCUCACUCUUCUAUGGACAGAGAUUCCUGCUGGGAUCCUUUGAGGGCAAGCAGACCCUUCUUCCAGCUCGGACUGUGAACUCCACUGCAGCCGUAAGGACUGUCUGUGACAGUGAGCCCGAGAUGACUGGGCUCUGUGCUCCCUCCCGGCCCUCCAAUCCUUGGCCUGCCACAGAGAACUGAGCUCUUUUAUUAGCACCAUGAAUGUGACUGAUACAGCUAGCCAUUCCCUUGUGCGAAUGACUCAGUUUAUUAAUGCUCUGCUAAAGAUGGCUUCUUUGCUUGCCAGCAGCCUUAAACAGUAUUUCAUUAAAACUGGCUUAAUUAUUUUGAGAAGACGGCCCAAUUAAAAGCUAUACACUCCCUCUAUGUGAGUGUUUAUACAUAGAGCUGUAUAUAUAAUACAUAUUUGUAAGUGUGUAUAUAUAUAUGUGUGUAUGUAUGUGUCUAUAAAUAUAUAGGCUUAGCAAUUUCAUUACAUGGGAUAAAUUGUUGGAAAAAAUACCCAGGAGCUGGUCCCCUUUCUGUUGCUAGAUUCAGAGUAGAGGCCACCCCUCCACUCUGGGAGAGGCUGGUGUUGGUGAUCUCUCAAUGACUCUGCAAUGGAAGUCCCAACUGCACAGAGCCCUGCCCCAGUUUCAGGAGCC